CCUACGGGUGGCAGCAGUGAGGAAUAUUGGUCAAUGGGCGCGAGCCUGAACCAGCCAAGUCGCGUGAGGGAUGAAGGUUCUAUGGAUCGUAAACCUCUUUUAUAAGGGAAUAAAGUGUGGGACGUGUCCUAUUUUGUAUGUACCUUAUGAAUAAGGAUCGGCUAACUCCGUGCCAGCAGCCGCGGUAAUACGGAGGAUCCGAGCGUUAUCCGGAUUUCUUGGGUUUAAAGGUUGCGUAGGCGGGCUUUUAAGUCACAGGUGAAAGUCUGUGGCUCAACCAGAGAAUUGCCGUUGAAACUGGGGGGCUUGAGUAUGUUUGAGGAAGGUGGAAUGCGUGGUGUAGCGGUGAAAUGCUUAGAUAUCACGAAGAACCCCGAUUGCGAAGGCAGCCUGCCAAGCCAUGACUGACGCUGAUGCACGAAAGCGUGGGGAUCAAACAGGAUUAGAUACCCUUGUAGUC
rnacentral:rRNA from 1 species